AUUGCAAAACACCGGUAUCUGCCAAGACUGUGAUUUUGCUCAGCUUGAUGGGUCUUCUCAAGCAUGACAUAAUGCCAAAGGUCUUGGUCAUUGCCUCCAUGAAGCCCAAAACUCAAAAGGAACUCAGCCACUUUACUUCCAUGAGGC